UUGUUAGUGGCAGACGGGUGAGUAACACGUAGGAAUCUGCCUUACAGUAAGGAAUAACAACUGGAAACGGUUGCUAAUACCAUAUACGCUCGAGAGAGGAAAGAUUUAUCGCUGUAAGAUGAGCCUGCGCUAGAUUAGGUAGUUGGUAGGGUAAUGGCCUACCAAGCCUACGAUCUAUAGCUGGUCUGAGAGGAUGAUCAGCCACACUGGGACUGAGACACGGCCCAGACUCCUACGGGAGGCAGCAGUGGGGAAUAUUGGACAAUGGGCGCAAGCCUGAUCCAGCAAUGCCGCGUGAAUGAUGAAGGCCUUAGGGUUGUAAAGUUCUUUUAGUGGGGAAGAAAAUGACGGUACCCACAGAAAAAGCUCCGGCUAACUCCGUGCCAGCAGCCGCGGUAAU
rnacentral:rRNA from 1 species